GCGGUGCCCACACCCAGUUUUUGACCCGGCAAUGUAAACCUUCUAAAACAAUAACAAAUCCAACAUCCCCUCAUACGCACAAAACUUUACCACGUUUCAAUUGAAGUCGGCAGUGAGCAAUCUUUCUAUGAUAAUUCUUCUACCUUUUCAAUCUUCGUCUAGGUUUAAAUCAUCUGUUUGCGAUAAUCCCUAACUCAAUUUCAUUUUUUGUGAGAAACAAGCCCUCAUCUUCAAUUGGGUCUGAUUUCAUCUUUUGCGACAAAAAGUCUGAUUUGAUUGGAUUCAAUUUCAUCAUUUGCUACGGACAAUCCUAGCAUUCGAUCGGUGCUUCCUUCAUCUUCAAUUUCGCAGAGUUGUUCUCCUUACUAAAAUCGUCUAGCUUAUUCUCCAAAGUACAACGUCUCAAACUACUAAAGCCAUUGCUUGCGUGGUGUAAGAAGCUACAAUGCACAAGUAGUCAAGCACUAAGUAUGAAAAUCAGGUUCUGAGCUUAUGAGAGUGUUUGAAAUCACUUAGCUAAACUGCUUAUCUAAUUAUUUAUGAGAAAAAAUAAGCAGUUUGAAGCUGUGUAUUCCGACUGAUUAUUCAAUAAUCCACAAUGAGUUGAAUGUAACUUGUAAGGUGAAUCAAGCAUCGAUUAUGGUCUUCGGUUGCCUAUUGAUCUAAACAAAUGAACAAAACACUGAUAUAUCCAAUUCCAAUGUUGUAAAAAAGGGUUCGCUUUUUAUUUAAUUUAAUGGUGGAAAACAUACGUGCACGCUUUUUAUCAAGCAUCGAUUAUGGUCUUUUGCCUUUUUUUUCUUUUCAACUCCUCAAAUAAUCUUCGUUGCUGCUAUCUCAUGUGUGCUUUGCAGUUAUGGGAUGCUUUAUCUUAAAGAGUUGUCAUUAGUCUAUGGCAAAGUUGCUUGAAUGCUUGAAUAUUGAAUAA
rnacentral:lncRNA from 1 species